rnacentral:rRNA from 1 species
UACGGGGGGUGCGAGCGUUGUCCGGAAUCACUGGGCGUAAAGGGCGCGUAGGCGGCCGCUCAAGUCGGGGGUGAAAUCUUUCAGCUUAACUGGAAAAUAGCCUCCGAUACUGGGCGGCUCGAGGGAGAUAGGGGUGCGCGGAACUUCCGGUGGAGCGGUGAAAUGCGUAGAUAUCGGAAGGAACGCCGGUGGCGAAAGCGGCGCACUGGAUCUCCACUGACGCUGAGGCGCGAAAGCCAGGGGAGCAAACGGG